rnacentral:rRNA from 1 species
AACGAACCCUUCGGGGUGAGUGGCGCACGGGUGCGUAACGCGUGGGAACCUGCCCUUAGGUUUGGAAUAACAGUGAGAAAUCGCUGCUAAUACCAAAUAAUGUCUUCGGACCAAAGAUUUAUCGCCUUUGGAUGGGCCCGCGUUGGAUUAGCUAGUUGGUGGGGUAAAGGCUCACCAAGGCGACGAUCCAUAUCUGGUCUUAGAGGAUGAUCAGCCACACUGGGACUGAGACACGGCCCAUACUCCUACGGGAGGCAGCAGUGGGGAAUAUUGGACAAUGGGCGAAAGCCUGAUCCAGCAAUGCCGCGUGAGUGAUGAAGGCCUUAGGGUUGUAAAGCUCUUUUACCAGGGAUGAUAAUGACAGUACCUGGAGAAUAAGCUCCGGCUAACUCCGUGCCAGCAGCCGCGGUAAUACAGAGGGAGCUAGCGUUGUUCGGAAAUACUGGGCGUAAAGCGCGCGUAGGCGGCUUUUCAAGUCAGGGGUGAAAUCCCGGGGCUCAACCCCGGAACUGCCCUUGAUACUGGAUCGCUACAAUACUGGAGAGGCAAGUGGAAUUCCGAGUGUAGAGGUGAAAUUCGUAGAUAUUCGGAACAACACCAGUGGCGAAUGCGA